UACGUAGGGUGCGAGCGUUGUCCGGAAUUAUUGGGCGUAAAGGGCUCGUAGGCGGUUUGUCACGUCGGGAGUGAAAACUCGGGGCUUAACCCCGAGCCUGCUUCCGAUACGGGCUGACUAGAGGUAUGCAGGGGAGAACGGAAUUCCUGGUGUAGCGGUGAAAUGCGCAGAUAUCAGGAGGAACACCGGUGGCGAGGGCGGUUCUCUGGGCAUUACCUGACGCUGAGGAGCGAAAGUGUGGGGAGCGAACAGG
rnacentral:rRNA from 1 species